CGUUAAUUUUAGUGGAAUAACUUAUAAGGGCAAAAAGAAUUUUAUUUGAAAGGGUAAUUUUGUCAUAAAAAGUAACAACUUCCUCGGGGGAAAGGGCUUUUCAGUGGGCGACAUCGAAUCAGCCUUCUUGUCGCAUAGCAAAAGGUCGGAAUGGUCCAAACCAUAACAACCUGAAAGGCCAGCGGAGAAUCCGUUGGAGUGGAAGAAACCGUUGGAGUGGUGUCUGCACGUUGGAGUGGUGUCUGCUGCACCCUUGGCUAUUGCGACUUCUCAUUUUCCACACCUCUAAACCUUUCUCUUCUCUCCUUUCCUAUUCUCUUCCAAAUCCAAUUUAUCCCCCAUUUUUCACAACUGGAGUCUGUUCAGCUUCCGGUUAACAGAACCCUCAAUCUCUUUCCCCAUUUCCAAACCCUUUUCGUCCGUACAUUGAACUUAAACAAUGGAGUAUGAUCCAGAAGUUGUGGUGCUCGAUGAUAAAGAGGAUGGUCUUAGCGGCCGCGGCGUUCAUCAGUUAAUAUCUUCGCUGAAAUCGUCGUUUCGGCUUCCGGAUUUCAACAAGGUUGAGGAGUAUUUGACGCUGAGGGAGCAGCAGUUGAAGCAAGAGAGGGAUGAGUUGGAGGCGAAAAUGAAGAAAAUUUCAGACGGAUUGUUGGCUGAGAUUCAGAAGAAGGAGAUCGAGAAUGAGUUUCUUGAGCGAAAACAUGCAGACGAGGUUUUGGAGAAACUGGUGCUUGAAGAGGAUUUGAGGAAGUGUAAGAGAGAGUGCGAGGAUCUUGAAGAGAAGGUGAAUCGAUUGAGCGAAGAUCAGAAGGUGAUGUGUGGUAGAGAGAAGAGGGCUGAGGAAAGGUAUGGGAAGUUGAUGGAAGAAUUGAAGAAAAGCGAGGAAUGCAGCGCUCAAUUAAACUGUAAAAAUAGAGAACUGGAGUGUGAGAAGAGAAGGAUUGAGGCUGAAAUUGAGAUGUGGAAGAGGAGAUUUGGGGAGUUGGAGUCCAGGGUUUUGGCUUUGGAAAAAGACACUGAGGUGCUGAAGAGGCCAGAACCCAACUUUUGUGAGAGUAUGAAGGGGAACUUGGGAGUGAGAAAUUCAGGUUUUUUUGAAUGGAGAGCAGAGAAAGAAGCGGGUAGCCUUCGAAAAGUUAAGAAUGAAAUGGACAUCGAAUCAACCAGUGUGAGCUUGGAGAACAAGAAAAUCAAUGAAAUUAGUGCCAGUUAUCAUACCCCAACUCAAAGAAUCAUGGAUUUGCAGAAUGGAGGUAGUGGAAGACCUGCAUUUGUAGGAUCAGUGGACAUCAGUGACAGUGACGAUGAAAUGCCCAAAGUAAUUAGAAAUGCUUCAACUGAUCGUGCCUCCAAAGAAGUUUUAAGUGGAAAACAGCAACCAUCUCAAAGCAUGAAAAAUGUCAUGUUUUUUAGUGGGACAGGUCCUGAAGAUACACUCAAAAGAAAACAAGAAAUUUUAGAUUGGUUGGGUGAGGAAGAUUCUCUGAAAGUAAAACAAGCUUCUUCUUCAACACAUAAUCCAGUGUUUUUGAAGCGGUUGAAAGCUACAAUUAAUGCUGAAGAAAAUAUCAGGGAUACAUAUGAUAUUUCAGACAGUGAUGAUAGUUCUGACUCUGAAAGUGAAGCAGAUGGGGUUUUUCCCUUUGAUCCAGUUAUAUCAAUUGCUCUCAGCAACCAAAAAGGAUGAUACACUAAGGUUUGAGGGAUGCUGAUUUUGGUUGAGCCUGGUUUAACAAAUGGUUCUAUAAGUUCCAGCAAGGUAUUCAAUGCUGCUUCAAUGUUGGUUGUUCAGAUUUGUCCAGCAUAAAAAAAGCUGCUUUUGCUAAGGUCAACCAGGUAACCUAAGAAAUUGAUCGUAGAGUUGUAGAAGUAUGAAUGACAGAACAGACUAACCAUUGAGCACCAUUGUAAAAUCAAUUUUACUGCCACAAAAAGUUCUGGAAUGAUGGGAGGAGUUUUUUGAUUUUC